UCUGGUAGCGGGGAAAGAUCGUGCACUUUGUACCCAUGAGGCGAGGAAGCGAGACGUUCGACAUGAUUGUUACCGGGAAAGAGCAAUCCGUUUCCAUCGGUCUACAUUUACUUAAUUUUUCAUCUGUAGGAGGAAGGAAACGAAGCAAAUAUAUUUUAAAAAGUAUCGCACUCGGAGGUUGAAUCGAUUUUUAUGAAUCGUGGGAAAAAGAUGUAAGAAAGGAAUUUGGCCAGUAAAGAAGAGUAUGUUAUUAUAGGUUCAAGUUUUGAAGACCGAAUGCUUGUAUUAUGGACUGAAUACAAGAUUAAACCAUUCUACAACAAAUUCCAUUGCAUUCACCAAAGAUUUGCCAAAGUUGAUUAUUUAAAGUUAUACUAGAACCAAUUAUUCAGAUUGAUCUGGUCUCCUUUGAAGUCGUCACAUCCAAUCAGACAUACUGAUACUUCCAAUAAUUGAAAACUCUAGCAUUCAUUAAAAACUGGAUUUGAUAAGUUGACUAGUUUUUGAGUUACGACAUGAUUUUUGUAGCUUUGUUUAUUAAAAAUGAUACAAAUAAUGACAGUCAUGUAUUAUGACAAAGAAUCAUGAAAUUAAAAUAUAGCUGAAUGUGUGAUGGCCAUUUUUUAUUUUGUUGGCUAUUAGAAGUUAAAUUUGUCAUACAAUAAAAAUAAUUUGAUUAAAAUGCUGUUUAUUCAGAGAGAAUUUUUUCACAAAUUAUUGUGUACAAAAAUGACAAUUACUAAUGUCAUUUUUCCAAAACACUUCCAAAAAUACAGGACUGCCUUGUACUUUAAAUUUAUUUUGUUUCAGGAGGCUGUUUGAAUUCUGAAUUGUAUCAGGUCAGUCCAUAAGUUCAUGUAUAUUUUUAUGACCUUGAGAAGAAUCUUGUUUUGCUGUUAAAAAUGUCAGUCUAAUGUGAUACUUUUUACACU